GUCUACGAUCAUACUACGUUGAAAGCACCGCAUCCCGCCUGAUCGCGAAGUUAAGCCAUGUUGGACUGCACUGUGUUUAAUAACUGAAUCGAAGGCGGUCCAGGAACGCGCAGUCUCGAAGGUC
rfam:Trichinella sp. T9 scaffold486s, whole genome shotgun sequence.